rnacentral:rRNA from 1 species
AGCGUACACGGUGGAUGCCCUGGCAGUCAGAGGCGAUGAAGGACGUGCUAAUCUGCGAUAAGCGUCGGUAAGGUGAUAUGAACCGUUAUAACCGGCGAUUUCCGAAUGGGGAAACCCAGUGUGUUUCGACACACUAUCAUUAACUGAAUCCAUAGGUUAAUGAGGCGAACCGGGGGAACUGAAACAUCUAAGUACCCCGAGGAAAAGAAAUCAACCGAGAUUCCCCCAGUAGCGGCGAGCGAACGGGGAGGAGCCCAGAGCCUGAAUCAGUGUGUGUGUUAGUGGAAGCGUCUGGAAAGGCGCGCGAUACAGGGUGACAGCCCCGUACACAAAAAUGCACAUGCUGUGAGCUCGAUGAGUAGGGCGGGACACGUGGUAUCCUGUCUGAAUAUGGGGGGACCAUCCUCCAAGGCUAAAUACUCCUGACUGACCGAUAGUGAACCAGUACCGUGAGGGAAAGGCGAAAAGAACCCCGGCGAGGGGAGUGAAAAAGAACCUGAAACCGUGUACGUACAAGCAGUGGGAGCACGCUUAGGCGUGUGACUGCGUACCUUUUGUAUAAUGGGUCAGCGACUUAUAUUCUGUAGCAAGGUUAACCGAAUAGGGGAGCCGAAGGGAAACCGAGUCUUAACUGGGCGUUAAGUUGCAGGGUAUAGACCCGAAACCCGGUGAUCUAGCCAUGGGCAGGUUGAAGGUUGGGUAACACUAACUGGAGGACCGAACCGACUAAUGUUGAAAAAUUAGCGGAUGACUUGUGGCUGGGGGUGAAAGGCCAAUCAAACCGGGAGAUAGCUGGUUCUCCCCGAAAGCUAUUUAGGUAGCGCCUCGUGAAUUCAUCUCCGGGGGUAGAGCACUGUUUCGGCAAGGGGGUCAUCCCGACUUACCAACCCGAUGCAAACUGCGAAUACCGGAGAAUGUUAUCACGGGAGACACACGGCGGGUGCUAACGUCCGUCGUGAAGAGGGAAACAACCCAGACCGCCAGCUAAGGUCCCAAAGUCAUGGUUAAGUGGGAAACGAUGUGGGAAGGCCCAGACAGCCAGGAUGUUGGCUUAGAAGCAGCCAUCAUUUAAAGAAAGCGUAAUAGCUCACUGGUCGAGUCGGCCUGCGCGGAAGAUGUAACGGGGCUAAACCAUGCACCGAAGCUGCGGCAGCGACGCUUAUGCGUUGUUGGGUAGGGGAGCGUUCUGUAAGCCUGCGAAGGUGUGCUGUGAGGCAUGCUGGAGGUAUCAGAAGUGCGAAUGCUGACAUAAGUAACGAUAAAGCGGGUGAAAAGCCCGCUCGCCGGAAGACCAAGGGUUCCUGUCCAACGUUAAUCGGGGCAGGGUGAGUCGACCCCUAAGGCGAGGCCGAAAGGCGUAGUCGAUGGGAAACAGGUUAAUAUUCCUGUACUUGGUGUUACUGCGAAGGGGGGACGGAGAAGGCUAUGUUGGCCGGGCGACGGUUGUCCCGGUUUAAGCGUGUAGGCUGGUUUUCCAGGCAAAUCCGGAAAAUCAAGGCUGAGGCGUGAUGACGAGGCACUACGGUGCUGAAGCAACAAAUGCCCUGCUUCCAGGAAAAGCCUCUAAGCAUCAGGUAACAUCAAAUCGUACCCCAAACCGACACAGGUGGUCAGGUAGAGAAUACCAAGGCGCUUGAGAGAACUCGGGUGAAGGAACUAGGCAAAAUGGUGCCGUAACUUCGGGAGAAGGCACGCUGAUAUGUAGGUGAAGUCCCUCGCGGAUGGAGCUGAAAUCAGUCGAAGAUACCAGCUGGCUGCAACUGUUUAUUAAAAACACAGCACUGUGCAAACACGAAAGUGGACGUAUACGGUGUGACGCCUGCCCGGUGCCGGAAGGUUAAUUGAUGGGGUCAGCGCAAGCGAAGCUCUUGAUCGAAGCCCCGGUAAACGGCGGCCGUAACUAUAACGGUCCUAAGGUAGCGAAAUUCCUUGUCGGGUAAGUUCCGACCUGCACGAAUGGCGUAAUGAUGGCCAGGCUGUCUCCACCCGAGACUCAGUGAAAUUGAACUCGCUGUGAAGAUGCAGUGUACCCGCGGCAAGACGGAAAGACCCCGUGAACCUUUACUAUAGCUUGACACUGAACAUUGAGCCUUGAUGUGUAGGAUAGGUGGGAGGCUUGGAAGUGUGGACGCCAGUCUGCAUGGAGCCGACCUUGAAAUACCACCCUUUAAUGUUUGAUGUUCUAACGUUGACCCGUAAUCCGGGUUGCGGACAGUGUCUGGUGGGUAGUUUGACUGGGGCGGUCUCCUCCUAAAGAGUAACGGAGGAGCACGAAGGUUGGCUAAUCCUGGUCGGACAUCAGGAGGUUAGUGCAAUGGCAUAAGCCAGCUUGACUGCGAGCGUGACGGCGCGAGCAGGUGCGAAAGCAGGUCAUAGUGAUCCGGUGGUUCUGAAUGGAAGGGCCAUCGCUCAACGGAUAAAAGGUACUCCGGGGAUAACAGGCUGAUACCGCCCAAGAGUUCAUAUCGACGGCGGUGUUUGGCACCUCGAUGUCGGCUCAUCACAUCCUGGGGCUGAAGUAGGUCCCAAGGGUAUGGCUGUUCGCCAUUUAAAGUGGUACGCGAGCUGGGUUUAGAACGUCGUGAGACAGUUCGGUCCCUAUCUGCCGUGGGCGCUGGAGAACUGAGGGGGGCUGCUCCUAGUACGAGAGGACCGGAGUGGACGCAUCACUGGUGUUCGGGUUGUCAUGCCAAUGGCACUGCCCGGUAGCUAAAUGCGGAAGAGAUAAGUGCUGAAAGCAUCUAAGCACGAAACUUGCCCCGAGAUGAGUUCU